AUACGUAGGGGGCGAGCGUUGUCCGGAAUGAUUGGGCGUAAAGGGCGCGUAGGCGGCCCGGUAAGUCUGGAGUGAAAGUCCUGUUUUUAAGAUGGGAAUUGCUUUGGAUACUGUCGGGCUUGAGUGCAGGAGAGGUAAGUGGAAUUCCCAGUGUAGCGGUGAAAUGCGUAGAGAUUGGGAGGAACACCAGUGGCGAAGGCGACUUACUGUACUGUAACUGACGCUGAGGCGCGAAAGUGUGGGGAGCAAACAGGAUUAGAUACCCUGGUAGUCCACACUGUAAACGAUGAAUGCUAGGUGUAGGGGGUAUCGACCCCUUCUGUGCCGCAGUCAACACAAUAAGCAUUCCGCCUGGGGAGUACGGCCGCAAGGUUGAAACUCAAAGGAAUUGACGGGG
rnacentral:rRNA from 1 species